rnacentral:lncRNA from 1 species
AGUGAAAAUGAAGCGCACGAUGGGCGGAAGCUGUGAGUCCGGCAAAGUUUUAAAAUGAUGACGUAUUUUAUUAACUCUAACGGCACUGGCGGGUGACUGAAAAUACUAGUGCUGUGUAUGCGGGAUAGACAUUAUUUUCCUGCCCUACAUGAGGGGCUCGUGCGCGGAACGACAUGGGCAGCCCCGGCGGAAACUGCAGGCACAAGCCGGGACGCCGCGGGUUUAAAACAUGCGCGUGAGAGGAAGACAAACAUAAAGAUGAAGUGCUUAAUUCAAGGUCACACAAUGUCGGGGAUGGACCUCCAGAUUUCCUUACUGACCUGCAUUAUCUUGUGGAUACCUGAGUGAAUUCCACACCACCCAUUUUAUAGAUGAAACCACUGAGACAUGGAGCAAUUGACUGAGUAGUCACUGCCCCACCCCUGCCUGGAGCCUCACACAUGACUCGCCUCCUCUCAGUGACCACAGACCAAGUGUGUUGGGGACUUGAGAUGCGUACAUGAGUGUGAUGUUUCCUGCUGAAAGCACAGGUGAGACGUGGUCUUGUAACACAGUGGUUAAGAAUGUGACUUUGGAGCCAGCCUGCUAGGGGCUGAAUUCUGACUCAGCCAUUUACUAACUGUGUGACCUUAGGGAGGAGGACCUGGUUGAUAGAAGAAUUUAUCUCGUAGUCUUAACAUCCACUGUAAUUCCAAACUUUGAGGACGAUAGAGAUCAGUGGGCUUUGACUGCCCAGCAUGCAGUCUCCAUUCUUAGGUGGGUUCCCAAGCCUGUAAAAUGUAAGCCUUAUGCUGCUGAGGGCCAUCUUGCCACCCUGAGGGAAACGCUGCCUGAGAAUGAAACAAGCAUAAGUAAAAGCUGAGCUGUGAGAUGGAGCAAGAUGAAGGCCACAUGACAUCUUUGGAGCACCUGGAUCUAACUGUGCCUUAAGCUAGUCUAACCCUGAACAUUUCAUCAUUUCAUUGACAUGAGCCCAGGUUUUCUUUUUUUUUGGAUGGAGUCUUGCUCUGUCGCCCAGGCUGGAGUGCAGUAGCUCAAUCUCGGCUCACUGCAAGCUCCACCUCCCGGGUUCACGCCAUUCUCCUGCCUUAGCCUCCCAAGUAGCUGGGACAACAGGCGCCCACCACCACUCCCAGCUAAUUUUUUGUAUUUUUAGUAGAGACGGGGUUUUACCAUGUUAGCCGGGAUGGUCUUGAUCUCCUGACCUCAUGAUCCGCCCGCCUCGGCCUCCCAAAGUGCUGGGAUUACAGGUGUGAGCCACUGCACCCAGCCCUCAGGUUUUCCCUUUUUUUACCCCUCCUUUUGAAAAUUUGAUGUGGAAUUUUGCCACCUGCAGCCAGAAGAGUUUUAACUAAUCAGUGCCAUAAAUUUUAUAUAGUUCUCCUUGCAAAAUGUGGAUCAGCCUUUCUCAGCAAAUCCUUUGUCAUAAAGUGCUGAAUUGUAAGUUUGUCAUGAGAAUCACAUGAGAUCAUGCAUGUGAAGAACCUGGCAUUAUCCUCCUCAUAGAAAAAAACCAGUAAAUAUUAACUACAGGAAGCAAGGAAGGAGUGGGGUGAGGGGAAGAAGAAGGGGUACUGAUUUAAAAGAACCCUGGAGUCCUAAGGAUAAUCUAGGAACCCUCAGACCCAAUCCGAUACCCCUAUUCUAAAUGCUCCUAGUGCCCUGUACCUUCCCCUCAUAAGCCUUCAUUAUCAUUGUAAUGAUAUGUUUAUGUAAUAUUUUGAUUAAUGUCUCUCCUUCACUGACCUAGCAGUUCUAGCAGGGCAGUGAUUUUGCUGUGUUGCAUCCCCAGCACCUAGUCUGGUAUGUGGCAUUCAGCAUAUGUUUAUUGAAUGAAUGGCCAUGUGGUUAUUCAGAUCCUCCUUGAUUAUUGGGGUUAGGAUUGUGGCAGAAGUGGCAAAAUCAGGGAGAGUAGUCCCUGUCCCCUCUGUAUCUUAUACACUGCCCACACUCCCAACACACAUACACAUACAGAGAAUUUUGUCUCAAUUAGAUAAUUAACUUCUGCUUGGUUGUAAACCAAACCACUGGUUCUUAAACUUUCAUUGGAUCAUUUUAUUGAAGAAUUAAAUAGUGUGGUUCUGGCCUAAUGUCUGGAAAGCCUUGCAGAGGAGUGGAUUAGGUCUUUGUGAUAAACAGGCAGCCUUCCCUGCUCCUGUGUCUUUAUAAAAUCUAUUUAACUGGAGUAGUCCACCCUCCCUCAGGCUCUUACAGGAAUAUGUUGGAGGCUGUAGGAAGGUGGGAAACCGAGAGGGAAAGGACUGGGCCGCUGGAGACUUCACUCAUUCCCUAGCAAGAAACAAAAGCAGUAAAAGGUGGCCCGAGGACAACCUGAAGCUCACUCCUUCAGCACUUUUGGCUGGAGGUCACUUGUUGGAGCCCCACUCAGAGCUCAGCACACCACCCCACCAGCAGCCUCCUCCUCCCAGCUGAGGCUGCAUUUCAUCCCUUCCCCCAGCCUGCUUUCCCUGAGAUAGGGGAGUGUUUCCCAGGGCCCAUGUGACUUCCACUGGCAAGUGACGAUUACCAAUGGUUUACUAGUCAGUGAAACUACCAAAGGCUUUUGUGCUGUAGUAAUCCUUUUCCUGUUUAAAACUCUGGGGAUUUUCUAAUGUUGCCAAUAGUUUUUCAAGUCAGCAAUUACUGUGUGGAUUAUGUAAUGGCUCGGUAUUA